GUAAAUCCUUCAUGUAGAUUCUUGGUUCCGUUGAAAAAACGAACUUGUAAGCUUUCAAACGAGGUCCAACAUGUGUGUGUGGACGUUUAGAGGCAACAUGGAAACACGCUCUUUAUGGAUUUAUCAAUGUUUACAUGGACAUGUCGGGUCGCGUGCAUCCUGCGCGCUUUAAAACAUUAAAAGACAGAACAGGUGAAAACAUCCCAGGUGCAGCUCCAGAGCCGUCUGUCACCAUACUUGAUGAAACAAAUGACUGGGCACGGCUACAGUGUAAAGCUCAUGGUGUUCCACAUCUUGAAGUAAAGUGGCAGGACAGUGAUGGAAAGACCCUUGCUGAGGAGCAACAGGUCUCGGGAAGUGAUCGUAAAUACAUUACUCUCCUCACGACUGUGACCAAGACUGGCAACUUCUCCUGUGUGGCAACGCAGAAGGACAUCAGCCAUAGGAUUUCUUCUCAGAUCUACGUGCACGUUCAUGGUGAGUGGUAUUUUAAUCCUCAAUCAUUUAAAUCAUUCAUGUGUUACUGGAACAAAGACUCCCAUACUCCACUUCAGUUCCAUCACAUUAAACAAAGAGUCAAAAACACCUGCUGAACAUUUCCAAAGUGUCAGCAGCUUAAUUUAAUAUUUCACUCAGCACCUUCAAACUUAGUUAUUGGAAGCUGUAACCAGUGAACACGUCACCGGGCUCUAAGAUGAAAUGAUGAAACCCAGUUCAGUUCAUCUCUACUCUGAUUCAGUAACUAUGACAACCUGAUCCCGAGGAUCGUCAUAGCAACGCCACACACACACAGCCACUUGAAAUCCAUCUGUUGGUAGUUGUAAUGACUGUCCAAACUUUCAGUCACUUCGUCUGUGAUUUGGUGUUAAUUAAAUCACCUGAUGCCCACCUAUAAUGAGCAAACACAGAGAUAGCUCACUCCCCCUUGUGGUUAAAUCAAAAAGUGGCUCCUACAUGGAAUUUAAGGAACUAAAGUAUUUAUUUUAUUUUAUACAUGGAUCAUAUGUUUUGUACGUAAAAUAAAUAUAUACAGUAACUAGUAUAUGCUAAAUGUUUUGGAGUCUAAAGUACAAUAUUUCCCCAGAGCAGAGAACCUGGGCUGUACACAGAUUGUCACACACAUUUGCAGAUCUCAGGCACAGCAGGAGUUUAGCACAAGUCACAUGUAAAGAGCCUGAAGUGGAGGUGGAGGACGGGGAUUCAAACCUUCUUCCUGCUGAUGAGCAGCACGUCUCAGAAACAGGACGAUGCUACAACAUCACCCUCCUCACUACUGCGACCAAAAGCACAAGCAAAGCUCUCAGCUGUGCAGCCGAGCAGGAGGAAAGUGUCUGUAAGAUCAGAGCUAACAUCACUGUUCCUGCUGAGAUUCAUCCCAGUGGUGUUUUUAUCUGCUAACAAGUUCAGAUUUCAGGAGCAGGAACACCUUUAGUUCUUCUUUGUGUCAGCUCUGAUGUUCAAUCUGCUCUGUAUGAUCUGCACUUACAUUCUGAGUGUCACAUUCACUUUUCCUCUUCUGUUUCAGAGGCAGAACCACAGCCAGACAACACUUGGUUGAUUGUUGCUGUUGUUUUCAUCAUUCUUUUUGUUGCUUAUGGAGCUGUUGUUGGAGUUGUGCUUUACAAGCGCAUACAGAAAUAUAAGAGAGUCUUCCCUUGGUGGAUUCGUGCUGUUGUUGUUGUUCUCGGCAUUCUUUUGUUUCCUCUUGGAGCUGUUGUUCUUGUUGUGCUUUACAUGUGCAAACAGAAACAUAAGAGAGGUUCUCGUCAGCACACAGGGAGCUCACCUGAAGAUCCUGCUAAAGGCGAGAAACAAACUGAAGAAACGCCAAUGAAUUAAAACUCUGAGAAACAACCUGAUGAAGAAGUUUAACCGUCUUCACAUGUGCUGUGCAGUUGUCUGCUGAAGUUUGUGUGUUUGAGCUUUAGUGAUGGUGAGCACGUUUUGGCUGGUGCUCACUUAUUUCAGGUAGUUUGGUUUUAUGUUUGAAGUUAGAUUCAGGUUGAAGGUUGUUUGUCACAUGGUUUGGAGAAUUAGCGCCAUCACCUGUUUAUCUAUAAGAAAGCACCGUUUGUAUUCUCAUGUCAAUACUGGAUGUAAAUCCACAUUCUGUUCCAGUUCAUUCAACUGUUUUCUGUCUUGUCACUCCACCUGACAGUCUGUCUGUUCUGAACAACUAAACUAGACUUUAGUCUUCAGGCGUGCUCGGCCAACAUGUUUUAUGAACUCGUCUUUAAAAUGAACCCAGACAGGACAGAAGCAGUUUUCCUGUAGCUGUCUACACUGAUACCAACAGUACAUUCAUCAUCAUCGAUUUGAUCUCUUCCACACAUUUAACCUCGUCUACACAUUAACCAGGCUGUAGUUACUCUGGACACAUCAUGUUUUGAUAUUUGGAUUCAUGAUCCCAACAAUAUAAUCUGUGAUUUAAGAGAACAAGUGGCCUUUAAUGCUGACAGAGCUGAUUAUUAAUGAAUCAUUCCAUCAGGUGAGAAUUAAAUUAUUAUUUCUUUCUUUCUUUUGCCUUGUUAAACCAGAGUGUGUCAGCUGGAGUUCUACACUGAGCUGUGUACUGUUGUUGACUCUGAAAUAUGAAAGUGCAUUAAUGUUGUAUACUGAUGGUGCAAUCAUCUUUUCUAUCCAAAGCUUUGAAUAAAAGUUGAAAAAUGUCAAA